rnacentral:pre_miRNA from 1 species
AGGCUUGUGUAUCGUGCUGAAAUUUCGUUACAUACCAAACCACUAGGGCUGAUGAAACUCCUAAGAUAAGUGAAGCG